ensembl:lncRNA
GUGAUUUGCAUUAUGUGACCUGAUUAGGCUUCUUCGGGUAAAAACUGCUUGACUGGCGUCUCAGUCACUCUCCUGUUAGCUUCACUGCACCUGUUAGAGUGGAAUAAAUUACACAUCUAUCAUUGCUCUUGGCAGAUUAAAUCUCGAAUGUCCGCAUGCUAACCUACAUUCAUUCUGAACAAAAGUUCCUGUGGAAAUUCUUCUGCAAGUCAAAACCUGUGGAGGUUCCUGGUCGUGCAAUGCUGUGGCAGUGGUUUAACUGGGCUACUGCUUGAGAGUAGAAGAGCAGGCUGACAAAACUACCGAUGCAGAGGAGCGCACCAGGCGCAAAUACGCGCUCUAGAAAGACGAGGCAGCAAGAUACACGACGCAGGCCUGCAAACAACCAGCAGAAUACAACCAUGGGUACACUCAACGGACCUGUGGGACCCCUAGCAUGGUCCCCCAUGACCACAGAGUACCAGGAGAAGUUCCUCCCUCCCCAGCGGUACAAAACUAUCAUCACCACCUCAGGGAUGAAGGAGCCCUACCAUUCGCUGAAGGGCACGAGUGCAGAUAUCCGCACCUUAAGAUCCUGCUUCGUUGACCAAAACUGCCGUAAAAUCCCACCACAGGCCCCACAGCCUCCACAGCCUCUCAAAGACUACAGAAAGAGGGCCAGCAGCGUCACACGCCCUCCUGUUUGUACCAUGGCCCCCCAGAUGCCACCCAAGCAGGACUUUGUAACUGUGUAUCAAAGUAAGCAACCUGAGAAUCAAACUUGUCAUGCAGUCAUCAAAUAUGGCACAGCAAAUAUUUACAAUCCAUUGGUUUUCAGGUGAUUUCCAACCUUGGGUGGUGAGCAAGCUGAAGCCACAUCGGCUGAAAGACAACUUCAACAUAAAGCAUGGAAUAGUUGCCUUGGAUUAUCCUCAUGAGCAAGAGAGAAGAUCCACAGCCAACUCUACUGGCGUCCCACAGGAUGUCUCCCACCCUGUGCAGCCCAGACCCAGCCAAGUUGAGCCACCGGAGCCGAGAGCAGCAUCCUUCCAACCAAAGGCGGCUUCACACAUAAACAAAGAACGUCUUGACAAAUCCAGUGACUUCUUUGACAAAUUCCAAUCCUGGUCCCUUGAAACCAAGUUCUACGGCCAACCCAAAGAGCCCGGUCAACCAGAACAUCACUGGUUUGUCCAAAUGACACACAAGUCCCACAGCACAAAGCCAAUUCUGCCGUCUGUGCAAACCAGCAUGAACAGUGCAUAACCCGUCCGUGGGAAUACCAUGAAGGAGGACUGUAGAGCUUGGAGUGCACCACAGGUCACGAAAAAACCUUCGAGCAGAUGUCCCAAACUAAACAACACUGCAGGCUCUAAUUCCAACUGUGACGCCACAAACAAACUUCCGUUUCCCAAGAGAAUGGAGUCUUUGCAGAGUUCGAGUCACUGCACUGAGAACGAAGUGACCUGGAUGUUCUGGUCCAGCUGUCUGGACACUGGAAAGACUGGAGGUGGCAGUUGUGUCGAGCCUCCUCGAAGCCACCACUGCCCAGUUUCCAGAAGAAACUAAAAGCGGCUAACAAGAUGUGGUGCUGCCACAGACUACCUCGGGUAGCUUCUACCCUUGCAUCAAUAAGAAGCCAUAAAUAGCAGUAAUAAUGUGUAAUGGCAGCUAUUUUUAUACGAGCAUCUGACUGACACAUCCCAUUUGAUUGUUAUAUAAUGAGCAAAAUCAAAGCCAGCUAAAAGUGGACUUCCUCUGAUUAUCGAAAGGUGUUUCUGAAUCCGCUGAAUCACCUGGAGAACAGAAUGUAGAUUAGAUGUCAAAAGCAC